rnacentral:misc_RNA from 1 species
UGGAUAUAUAUAGUUGAAUUUGAAUAUUUGAUCCAUGUAAAUGUUUUAUUGUAAUUGGUAUUUAGAAGGGGGAAAGAACGGGGAUAGUAAAGGUGUGACCAAAGGGCAAAGGUACAAAUCACAAAGUAAGGAAGUUAUAAGUUUUUUGUCUGAUCCAUAUUCUAUAGAAGCAUGCAUGGAUUUAUUGGAGGCGAUGGAAGGUGUUUCUGAUGCUGUGUACAACAAAUCACUUGAAAAGUUUGUGAAUCAAGAUUGGAGAAAGAUGUUUGUCUUGAUGCCUUGGGUGGAAAGUUUGAUAUGAUUGUGUUCUUUUUUGAGAAUUAUGACUGCAUUUCAUUUCUGAACUACUGUAUUUUAUUUCUUGUAACACCUCUAAUUUUUAAAUU